GUGCUUGCUACGGCGGACACAUAUAAUAAAAUUGGAUACGAACAGGAGAAGAUUAGCAGGCCCCUGCGAAGGAUGACACGCCAAAUCGUGAAAGCGCUCCAUACUUUU